rnacentral:rRNA from 1 species
UACGUAGGGUGCAAGCGUUGUCCGGAAUUAUUGGGCGUAAAGAGCUCGUAGGCGGUCUGUCGCGUCUGCUGUGAAAACUCGGGGCUUAACCCCGGGCCUGCAGUGGGUACGGGCAGACUAGAGUGCGGUAGGGGAGACUGGAAUUCCUGGUGUAGCGGUGAAAUGCGCAGAUAUCAGGAGGAACACCAAUGGCGAAAGCAGCUCUCUGGGACGGUACUGACGCUGAUGCGCGAAAGCUAGGGGAGCGAACAGG